rnacentral:rRNA from 1 species
ACGCUCGACACCUACGGGAGGACAGCAGUCGGGAAUAUUGCGCAAUGGAGGAAACUCUGACGCAGUGACGCCGCGUGCAGGAAGAAGGUUUUCGGAUUGUAAACUGCUUUAGACAGGGAAGAAAGAAAUGACAGUACCUGUAGAAUAAGCUCCGGCUAACUACGUCNCNNNCGCCGAGUAUNGNGGCGGNGNGAGAG